ACGGAAGGCAGCAGUGGGGAAUAUUGGGCAAUGGGCGGAAGCCUGACCCAGCAACGCCGCGUGAAGGAAGAAGGUUUUCGGAUUGUAAACUUCUGUCCUAAGUGACGAAGGAAGUGACGGUAGCUUAGGAGGAAGCCCCGGCUAACUACGUGCCAGCAGCCGCGGUAAUACGUAGGGGGCGAGCGUUGUCCGGAAUGACUGGGCGUAAAGGGCGUGUAGGCGGCUCUUUAAGUAUGGAGUGAAAACCCAGCUUUCAAGGUUGGGCAUGCUUUGUAGACUGGAGAGCUUGAGUGCGGAAGAGGUAAGUGGAAUUCCCAGUGUAGCGGUGAAAUGCGUAGAGAUUGGGAGGAACACCAGUGGCGAAGGCGACUUACUGGGCCGUAACUGACGCUGAGGCGCGAAAGCGUGGGGAGCGAACAGGAUUAGAUACCCUGGUA
rnacentral:rRNA from 1 species